CAGUCGCCACGGUAACACCGAGGGUGCGAGCGUUAAUCGGAUUUACUGGGCGUAAAGCGUGCGUAGGCGGCUUCUUAAGUCGGAUGUGAAAUCCCUGAGCUUAACUUAGGAAUUGCAUUCGAUACUGGGAAGCUAGAGUAUGGGAGAGGAUGGUAGAAUUCCAGGUGUAGCGGUGAAAUGCGUAGAGAUCUGGAGGAAUACCGAUGGCGAAGGCAGCCAUCUGGCCUAAUACUGACGCUGAGGUACGAAAGCAUGGGGAGCAAACAGGAUUAGAUACCCCAGUAGUCCCUGUCUCUUAUAA
rnacentral:rRNA from 1 species